UGUGAUAGUGUAGUCACGCCAAUCAGUGUUCAGAUUUUAAUAUUGGCACCUGGUUUGUCCACUGAGGGCAUAGAUAUGCCUCUGAGAAAACAGGGGUUAAAAGCUGUGAACUCCCAGAAGAAUUUCCUUUUUAAGUUCCGGUUUUAAAGACAGCAGACCCUCCCCUGCCCAGCUCUGAGCUGGGCAGGGUGGGGGGAGGGGAGCCAUGCGGCCGGAGGGAGGUACUACUGACAACUGAGGCAGCAAUCCGAGCCAAGGGAAAAGAGAGUGGAUCCAGGCCAGCAGAAUCAAAGGAGCUGUGAAGGAACCUGAGGAGUGGACUAGCACAUUUAAACUGGGUGAUACCAAAUUGACUCUUAAUUGGGGACUGGGUGGUAAUGAACUGGGAGGACCCAAAUGAUCCAAGGAAUGUACAAAGAAUCACAGCUAAUUGAGAAACAAGGCCAAGCUUUUAUCAGUGCUUUCAAGUGCCAUCUGAGACACAUCAGAUACCCGCUUUGGGGAGGAAUACUUCCACUGCAAACAGGAGGGUCAGGACAAUUUCAGUCAGAGAAUUCUCGUGUUCUGGCCUUAGCUUGUGAUUUAUACAAAGAGGAAGAGGAAUUACAACUUCCAUCAGUGCCAUACCAUAUCCCCUGUUUGCUUCAUCCUUAUACCAGACAUGCUGGGUUAAAAUGCUGGGUUAAAUGUAAAUGUUUAAAUUGUGGGGAAAGUUGGUAUUGUAGUUCACACAAUCAAUGCUCUCGUUGCAGGAAGUGUCGAGUACCAAAUCUAUCCCCUGUCCAGACAGAACUCAAAACAACUGAAAUAAUAACUUUGUUUUGUGGAUGGGAAUUAUUAGUGCCUGUUGAGUGGGAGAUACCUGAGGAAUGGUGGGAAACCACAAUUAUGGAGUGUCAAAAACGAUUUGCCUGGAAAUUAGCAAAAAAGGGGUGACAAGGAGAAGAGGGCAAGACUGGAUUGGCCACUGUACUCGCCACCGAGAAGAUCAGAUACCCCUGCUGUGGGCAGCACCCCCAUAGGCAUGGCAGGUGGGGGUAUAAGCCAUACCAGACCUCUGUUAUUCCUUUUUCUGUCACUCAUCUUCUGUCUUUUCCCUUUAGGGAUACCAGCAAAAUCGUGUCACAAAUGCUAUCAAAAGCAUUACAUGGAAAGAAAUCAAAGUUCCUCUUUUAUUACACACACCCAUGUCAGCAGUCACUGCUAUGACCCAUCCAAAUUAAGUACCUGCAUGCAAAAUGGGGGAAAUACUGCAUUGAGAGAAACUUAGGAAAAAGUGGGAAUAGAUUGGGAAGUGAAUGUCCAAAAGGGAAGAGAUGGAUUUGUUUCAUAUUUGCCCUUAAGGGUGGAGUCCAAGAUUUGGUAAAAGAACAAUCAGUAAACAAAAAGGUAAAACCAGCACAGCAAUCUAACUCUGUAUCAGCCCCAAUCAAUAUGCUGAAUCGUAUUAUAGGACUCCAAACAGUUGUAGAGAUAAUAAACAUAACCAGCUGCGCAUUAGAAUUAACAGCCAAACAAAACUCAUAAUGUAUCAGAAGGGAUUGGCUUUAGACGAUCUACUGGCUAAAGAAAGUGGUGUUUGUGGAAAAUUUAAUAUAUCAGGUUGCUGAAAAUAGGUGAUCCCAAGGAAAAACAGCCCAUGUACUGGUCCAAAAUUGGGACCCAAUGUUGAAAACACUAGCUGGUGGGAUAAUGCAUUGGGGAUAGAAUGGUGGAAGAAAUUAGGCUUCUUCCUUUUUUGUGCUACAGCUGCUUGGAUAUUUCUUUCAUGUUUGAUUCCUUUUUUUAUUCAGCUAAUUACCAGCAAAGUCCAAAGCAUAAGAAAUAUUGCUCAAGCCAAAUGAUUUAUAAAGAAUAAGAGGAGGAUUUGUUAUUAAUGCGUAUUAUAGUAUUGGCUUCUCACAAAUAUUAAAAUGAAUGCUAUAUGUACAAUGUUAUAAUAACUUUGCUUUUAUUUCUGCUAUUAACAAAACCUUAGACAUAGUAGUGGUGGUAGCUGAUCUAGUUAGGAGUGAACUGUCUGUUUGGUAGGGAUAACAUCCAGUGAACACGGCAUGAGCACCCUGCUGUUGAUAUGCCAACUAUCAGCAUCUGCCAUCUGAAGAAAGUGUGGACCAAGGCCCAGAGUGGAAGUGAUCAAGAGAGGGAACCAAAACCACAGCCAAGAAACACACGUGCUCUAAAAAGGCAGGCCAGGGAGGA